rnacentral:tRNA from 1 species
UGCGGGAUCGUCUAAUGGUCGGACGUCUGCCUUUGGAGCAGAAAAUUGGGGUUCGAUUCCCUAUCCCGCAG